UAGGGAAUCUUCCGCAAUGGGCGAAAGCCUGACGGAGCAACGCCGCGUGAGUGAUGAAGGUCUUCGGAUCGUAAAACUCUGUUAUUAGGGAAGAACAAAUGUGUAAGUAAAUAUGCACGUCUUGACGGUACCUAAUCAGAAAGCCACGGCUAACUACGUGCCAGCAGCCGCGGUAAUACGUAGGUGGCAAGCGUUAUCCGGAAUUAUUGGGCGUAAAGCGCGCGUAGGCGGUUUUUUAAGUCGGAUGUGAAAGCCCACGGCUCAACCGUGGAGGGUCAUUGGAAACUGGAAAACUUGAGUGCGGAAGAGGAAAGUGGAAUUCCAUGUGUAGCGGUGAAAUGCGCAGAGAUAUGGAGGAACACCAGUGGCGAAGGCGACUUUCUGGUCUGUAACUGACGCUGAUGUGCGAAAGCGUGGGGAUCAAACAGG
rnacentral:rRNA from 1 species